rfam:TPA: Bos taurus chromosome 1, whole genome shotgun sequence.
UCCCUGGUGGUCCAGUGGUUAAGACUCUGAGUUUCCACUUCAGGGGCUCAGGUUCAAUUCCUGGUUAGGGAA